rnacentral:rRNA from 1 species
GACGAACGCUGGCGGCGUGCUUAACACAUGCAAGUCGAACGGAGCGAAUGAAAGCUUGCUUUUAUGAGCUUAGUGGCAAACGGGUGAGUAACACGUAGACAACCUGCCGAUCAGAUGGGGACAACAUUCCGAAAGGAAUGCUAAUACCGAAUGAAGUGUGGGGGAGGCAUCUUCCCUACAUGAAAGAUGGCCUCUAUAUAUAAGCUAUCACUGAUCGAUGGGUCUGCGUCUGAUUAGCUAGUAGGUAAGGUAACGGCUUACCUAGGCGACGAUCAGUAGCCGGUCUGAGAGGAUGAACGGCCACAUUGGGACUGAGACACGGCCCAGACUCCUACGGGAGGCAGCAGUGGGGAAUCUUCCGCAAUGGGCGCAAGCCUGACGGAGCAACGCCGCGUGAGUGAAGAAGGUCUUCGGAUCGUAAAGCUCUGUUGAAGGGGACGAACGUAUAUAGUGCGAAUAGUGCUGUGUAAGACGGGC